GACGAACGCUGGCGGCGUGCUUAACACAUGCAAGUCGAGCGAGGCCCCUCCUUCGGGAGGGUGUCCUAGCGGCGAACGGGUGAGUAACACGUGGGCAUCCUGCCCUCAGCUCUGGGAUAACUCCGGGAAACCGGGGCUAAUACCGGAUACGACCUCCACGGGCAUCUGCGGAGGUGGAAAGUUUUUCGGCUGAGGAUGGGCCCGCGGCCUAUCAGCUAGUUGGUGGGGUAGUGGCCCACCAAGGCGACGACGGGUAGCCGGCCUGAGAGGGCGACCGGCCACACUGGGACUGAGACACGGCCCAGACUCCUACGGGAGGCAGCAGUGGGGAAUAUUGCGCAAUGGGCGAAAGCCUGACGCAGCGACGCCGCGUGAGGGACGAAGGCCUUCGGGUUGUAAACCUCUUUCAGCAGGGACGAAGCGAAAGUGACGGUACCUGCAGAAGAAGCACCGGCCAACUACGUG
rnacentral:rRNA from 1 species